GACGAACGCUGGCGGCGUGCUUAACACAUGCAAGUCGAACGGAAAGGCCCUGCUUUUGUGGGGUGCUCGAGUGGCGAACGGGUGAGUAACACGUGAGUAACCUGCCCUUGACUUUGGGAUAACUUCAGGAAACUGGGGCUAAUACCGGAUAGGAGCUCCUGCUGCAUGGUGGGGGUUGGAAAGUUUCGGCGGUUGGGGAUGGACUCGCGGCUUAUCAGCUUGUUGGUGGGGUAGUGGCUUACCACGGCUUUGACGGGUAGCCGGCCUGGGAGGGUGACCGGCCACAUUGGGCCUGAGAGACGGCCCAGACUCCUACGGGAGGCAGCAGUGGGGAAUAUUGCACAAUGGGCGGAAGCCUGAUGCAGCAACGCCGCGUGCGGGAUGACGGCCUUCGGGUUGUAAACCGCUUUCGCCUGUGACGAAGCGUGAGUGACGGUAAUGGGUAAAGAAGCACCGGCUAACUACGUG
rnacentral:rRNA from 1 species